rnacentral:rRNA from 1 species
UACGUAGGGUGCGAGCGUUGUCCGGAAUUAUUGGGCGUAAAGAGCUCGUAGGCGGUGUGUCACGUCGGCCGUGAAAACCCGCAGCUUAACUGCGGGACUGCAGUCGAUACGGGCAGGCUAGAGUUCGGUAGGGGAGACUGGAAUUCCUGGUGUAGCGGUGAAAUGCGCAGAUAUCAGGAGGAACACCGGUGGCGAAGGCGGGUCUCUGGGCCGAUACUGACGCUGAGGAGCGAAAGCGUGGGGAGCGAACAGG